rnacentral:rRNA from 1 species
GACGAACGCUGGCGGCGUGCUUAACACAUGCAAGUCGAACGGGAAGGCCCUGCUCUUGUGGGGUGCUCGAGUGGCGAACGGGUGAGUAACACGUGAGUAACCUGCCCUUGACUUUGGGAUAACUUCAGGAAACUGGGGCUAAUACCGGAUAGGAGCUCCUGCUGCAUGGUGGGGGUUGGAAAGUUUCGGCGGUUGGGGAUGGACUCGCGGCUUAUCAGCUUGUUGGUGGGGUAGUGGCUUACCAAGGCUUUGACGGGUAGCCGGCCUGAGAGGGUGACCGGCCACAAUGGGACUGAGAUACGGCCCAGACUCCUACGGGAGGCAGCAGUGGGGAAUAUUGCGCAAUGGGCGGAAGCCUGAUGCAGCAACGCUGCGUGCGGGAUGACGGCCUUCGGGUUGUAAACCGCUUUCGCCUGUGACGAAGCGUGAGUGACGGUAAUGGGUAAAGAAGCACCGGCUAACUACGUG